UACGUAGGGUGCAAGCGUUAUCCGGAAUUAUUGGGCGUAAAGAGCUCGUAGGCGGUUUGUCGCGUCUGCUGUGAAAACUGGAGGCUCAACCUCCAGCCUGCAGUGGGUACGGGCAAACUAGAGUGAUGUAGGGGAGACUGGAAUUCCUGGUGUAGCGGUGAAAUGCGCAGAUAUCAGGAGGAACACCGAUGGCGAAGGCAGGUCUCUGGGCAUUAACUGACGCUGAGGAGCGAAAGCAUGGGGAGCGAACAGG
rnacentral:rRNA from 1 species